UAUAAAUUAAACUUUUAUUAACCGAUAAAAUUAAUUAUAUGUUUACAAUAUUGCAACAGGUUAUAAAGUAAAAGAUAUGUCAAUUUAAAUAUUGCUCAAGAGUCAAGAAUAUUUUUUGUUAUUUGAAAUUCAUUGUGUCUGUUAAGUUCUUCUUUCUUUAUCAAAAUGAUAGUGUUCAAAAAAUAUUUUUAAACAAUUAACACUUAGCAUUUUAAAACAAUGUCUUUGGACAUUACUAAUAUUAAUUGAUUAAAGAUUAAAAUAGAUUCCAUUACUUCGUCUAUGAAGAUAAAAAAAAAUUAAAAAAACGUAACAGACUGAAAAAUGCAAUGAAAAAUAUGUAAAUAAACUAGCCAAGAGGUCGACAGAACAUCAAAUUAUUUUCUAUUAUAGUUGUUGAAUUGUAAUAGAAAAAGUGGUAAAGAUAGGAUUAUAAGUUGAAAUAUUUCUUUACCACAAAAAGAUAAUCCAGAUCUUUUAGAUCGAAAGAUAGACAUGUUGUUGUCGACCUGUAACAAUUACUAUGUUAAAAGAAAAAAAUAUUCAAAAAUCGCAACAAAGCAAUAAAACCAUUUUGUAUAUUAUAGUUAUUUUGUAACGUCUAGAUUAUAAAUAUGUUGGGUAGCAGUUCACUAGUUUUAGUAAUUUAGUACAACGACCAGUGGAGUGUAUUAUGGCUCCAUAUAAGUCUACUAUAAAGACUAAAAUAAUGACUAGUGCAUUUAUGUAUUGCGCACAUAAUUGGGCACUACAGAAUAACUCUUUAGUGCCCACUAGAGAGCGAUAAAGGCUCAAACCACUGGUCGUAGUACCCCACGGCCGCAGUUCGGUCGUGUCAGCAUCCAUAUGUCAGUGGCUUAUUUAAACAAAUGUAUAGUUAUACAAAUACUAGUGCCGCAAGAGUUAUAUUAGAGGGUCUUGGCUGUCGCGUGUUGGUUCAGCCUGCUGUGAACACUGAGCCAACGCAUCGAGCUAGCGCAUUGGACCAACGUGAGAGUAUGGAAUGUCACUCCCAACUUAUGGCCAAGUAGGCCUCUGCACUGUCCAAUGCACUGGCUUCAUGCGUCGGCCUGAUUUGUCCAGCCGGCUAUACGGUUUGUGUCGUUAUAUUGUCUAUGGUGCAAAUUAGAGAAUAUAUUAUAAUAUGAUUGUACGAAAAUUGACUCUUGUCGUGGUUUUGACCAUGAUAUGGCCAAUUCCAUGUCCAAAAAUGUCUAUAAAAUGGUUUGACAAAUCUUAUGAAAUUGGUUUAGAGUGUAUUUGGCAAAAUGUAUCCUACAAUGAAUAACGACACAGGCCCGUUAGGUGUGAGGAUGUUGGUUUUUCUACGUUGGAAUGUUGUUGAGAAUUGUUUCAAUUAGGGAAUUUUGAAAUUGAUAAAUUAUAUUGUACAUUUUGAUAGACAAUGUAUGAAUAGGUUUAAUACGUCCUAAGUCUCUUCACCCGGUUUCGAUUAUCUUAUUCAAAAAUGUUAAAACUCGCUUCAGUCUCAUGUUGCACGAAGCGGUGCGAUGUUAUAAUGAUAAAGGACUGAAAUUGAAAAUAAAUUGCACUUUAAUCGGCGUGUUUUGCAAUCUUCUGAUCACUUUCUUAAGAUCUACACUUUCAAUUCAGAUUUUCAGGCCCAUGUACACUUUAUACCACAGAUGUUAUAGUUUUGUCUGUCUGAUGCGUUAUAAAAGUCGCCUAAUAGACAAGGACUGAACAUUGUAGACUUUUAUAAGUAACGGGAUAACUGUAUUGUCUCUUUAUAUUGUGACCGACGGAAGAUUGUGAAGCCCCAUCACUAGCGCGUAGUUUAGUAAUUUAUUGUAGAGGUAUGUUUCUAUUGAAAGGCUUUCGGUAAUGUAUAAUGAUAAUAUAAUGACGGUGAAGAGUUGAAGACAGCCGAGACUGUAGUUGUUAAAGACGGGUGGCCGACUUUGUAAAUGCGAGUUCAGAUUUUCAUAUAAAAAUAUGAAUCUCUUUUUUGUUUGUUUUUAUGUCAAAUUUUAUUUCGAUCACGGUACGAAUACAGGUGAAGUUUACGAGCGUCCGGGCGACCGCGCUGCUCGUGUUCCCCGGGUGUUGCCGCUGGACAUAGGAGCGCGGUCGCCCGAGCGCGCGCCGGCCUGGCCGCCCCGCUUGUUAUAUAAAGUUAUUUACCUUAAAUUAGCGUUUUGUAUUGUAACAUAUGACCUUGAAGAUGUAACACAUAGAAGUAUUUUAUAUGUAUUGUAAUGUUAGUUCGCGAUUCUAUCAGAAUUGUUUAUAAAUAAAUUGUCAAAUAUAUGUAUAAUAUUGUA